rnacentral:rRNA from 1 species
UACGUAGGGUGCGAGCGUUGUUCGGAAUUACUGGGCGUAAAGGGCGCGUAGGUGGCCUUCUAAGUUGAACGUGAAAUCCCUGGGCUCAACCCAGGAACUGCGUCCAAGACUGGGAGGCUUGAAUCCGGGAGAGGGAUGCGGAAUUCCAGGUGUAGCGGUGAAAUGCGUAGAUAUCUGGAGGAAUACCGGUGGCGAAGGCGGCAUCCUGGACCGGCAUUGACGCUGAGGAGCGAAAGCGUGGGGAGCGAACAGG